rfam:Alphaproteobacteria bacterium 41-28 SCNpilot_cont_1000_p_scaffold_950, whole genome shotgun sequence.
GAAGGUAGGCCCUUCGGAAUCGGUUUUCAGGGACAGGCUCCAAACCACCUUAAGCGGCUGUGAUUAAGAGUCAUGAUCGUGAGCGUUAAGGAAAAGUACAUAAUUUAAAAUGGGAAGGU